GUCCCUAUCAUCUAGCGGCCAAGGAUGCUUGGUUCUCAACCAGGAAACCGGGGUUCGAUUCCCCGUAGGGUCGCCA
rnacentral:tRNA from 1 species